rnacentral:sRNA from 1 species
AAUUUAUAAGCAGAGUAAAUUUUUUUUUGAAAAACGAAUUAUAAAUCCUUGAAAUAGAAAUCCCACAAGUUUCAGUGUGCUUUUUUGACCUUGCGCCUUGAUUAGCUUUCAACAAAAAGCUUUAAGUGAAAAUAGUAUAGAAAAUAAAUUUGUGCACUUCUUAAACGAAAAGCUAAACAACUUUAUUCGAAAUGCCUUUGGGAAGAGAAUAUCGCGCCGAUGAGGUCGAAUUCGAAUUCGAUGACGAAGAAGAUGACGAGUUACAGGGCGUUGGAGUACGCGUUCCGCCGAAGCCCGACAACCGUCGUCCUAGCACAGCGAAGGACUACCGUGCGGAAAAUGUACGAUUUUCUGACAAUGAUGACGAGGAUUACUACGACGACGAUGAUGAUCUUGAUAUCGAAAUGGAGGAAUACGUUGAAGAGUAAGUAUUUUUGUUUUCCCAUAAAGGAGAACAACGCGUUUUUGUUUUGUCAAUUUUCGAAUGGGCGAAACCACAAAAUGGACCAACCAACCAACCAUCAUCGAUUGCAAGUCAACUAUAAUGCAGAACACAGCAUCACCAUGCAGGCGAACGAUGACAACAGCAACGGACACCAAAUUGGCUAACGGUAUAAUGCUGCUGCUGCUUUUGCUAAUGGAAACUUCUUUGCAACUGGCCUCCAUAUACUUCAAAGGGGGAUUUACUAACUCUGGAAUUGAGGAAAAUGUUU